UCCGGUUUGACACCGGCAGUCCCCUUAGAGUCCCCGGCAUAACCCGCUGGUAACUAAGGGCAAAGGUUUCGCUCGUUAAGGGACUUAACCCGACAUCUCACGACACGAGCUGACGACAGCCAUGCAGCACCUGUACUAGUUGUACCCCGAAGGGCCUACUCCACUUUCAUGGAGAUAAUCCUAGCAUGUCAAGCCCAGGUAAGGUUCUGCGCGUUGCUUCGAAUUGAACCACAUGCUCCACCGCUUGUGUGAGCCCCCGUCAAUUCCUUUGAGUUUUAGCCUUGCGACCGUACUUCCCAGGCGGUCCACUUAGCACUUUUGCUUCGACCAUGACGCCGUUAAAAGCGCCACGAUCUAGUGGACAUCGUUUAGGGCCAGGACUAC
rnacentral:misc_RNA from 1 species